rnacentral:rRNA from 1 species
GACGAACGCUGGCGGCGUGCCUAAUACAUGCAAGUCGAACGCAGUGGGGACGGGUGAGUAACACGUGGGUAACCUCCCAUCAGAGGGGAUAACACUUGAAAACAGGUGCUAAACCGAUACUGAUGGAUGGACCGGCGGUGCAUUAGCAAGUUGGUGAGGGAACGGCUAACCAAGGCCACGAUGCAUAGCUGACCUGAGAGGGUGAGCGGCCACACUGGAACUGAGACACGGCCCAGACCCCUACGGGAGGCACCAGUAGGGAAUCUUCGGAAAUGGACGAAAGCCUGACCGAGCAAGGCCGCGGGAGUGAAGAAGUUGUUGGGAUCGUAAAACUCUUUUGUUAGGGAAGCGGUAUCUAACCAGAAAGCCACGGCUAACUACGUGCCAGCCGCCGCGGUAAUUC